AGACGUUGAGGAAGUAAGUUGUG
rnacentral:piRNA from 1 species